ACUCGUGUUUCCAUCGGCAUGCGUUUUAGAAUGCUAUUUGAAAUUGAGGAGUCUAGUGUGCGCAGAUAUAUGGGCACUGUCACAGGGAUAAGUGAUCUAGAUCCUGUCCGAUGGCCAAAUUCAUAUUGGCGCUCUGUGAAGGUUGGCUGGGAUGAGUCAACUUCUGGAGAGAGGCAG